rnacentral:lncRNA from 1 species
GGUUACUGACUGGCAAAGAAGGAUUCCACUAGCACUGCUUGGCUAUCAAAGCUGGGCAAUGUGAUCCUCUAAGCCACAUGUUUAGCCCCUUGACUGGGCAAACUUCAAACAAGUGACUGAGCUCCCUUAGCUGCCACUGAUUGGACCAGGAUGGACAACAAAUGUAGGAGGAGUUCAUCUGGAUCUAGCCUGAGCCAGUCAGAUGUCCCGUUUGAAUCCAUGCCUAUAGAAAUACAAAAAGUGGAAGCCAGAGGAUGAUGGAUCCUUGAAGUAAUAAGUCAGGUAAAUCUUGAAAAUUUUUGACUCAAUCCAUAUUGAUGAACACAAGAAUAAUUCUGGUCUACAAAGAGAGGCAAGAGAAAGACUUGGGGUGUAUUAAGAAAAACAGCUCUGUGGAAGUUUGAGUGACUCAUUGCAGAGAGGAAUUGAUGAAGUCAACAGCUGCUGGAAAAACUUCUUUUUCCUUA